rnacentral:rRNA from 1 species
AUUGAACGCUGGCGGAAUGCUCUACACAUGCAAGUCGACCGGUAGAGGGGGCAACCCCCCGAGAGUGGCGAACGGGUUAGCAAUAUAUCGGAACGUGCCCAUUCGUGGGGGAUAACGUAGCGAAAGUUACUCUAUUACCGCAUACGAUCUAAGGCUGAAAGCGGGGGAUCGCAAGACUUCGCGCGAUUGGAGCGGCCCAUAACAGAUUAGGUAGUUGGCGGGGUAAAGGCUCACCAAUCCAACGAUCUGUAGCUGGUCUGAGAGGACGGCCAGCCACAAUGGCACUGAGACACGGUCCAGACUCCUACGGGAGGCAGAAGUGGGGAAUUUUGGACAAUGGACGCAAGUCUGAUCCAGCCAUUCCGCGUGCAGGAUUAAGGCCCUCGGGUUGUAAACUGCUUUUGUACGGAACGAAAAGGUCUCUCUUAAUACGGGGGACUCAUGACGGUACCGUAAGAAUAAGCACCGGCUAACUACGUGCCAGCAGCCGCAGUAAGAC